CAGUAGCCGCGGGAAUACGUAGGUGGCAAGCGUUGCCCGGAAUUAUUGGGCGUAAAGGGCUCGCAGGCGGUUUCUUAAGUCUGAUGUGAAAGCCCCCGGCUCAACCGGGGAGGGUCAUUGGAAACUGGGAAACUUGAGUGCAGAAGAGGAGAGUGGAAUUCCACGUGUAGCGGUGAAAUGCGUAGAGAUGUGGAGGAACACCAGUGGCGAAGGCGACUCUCUGGUCUGUAACUGACGCUGAGGAGCGAAAGCGUGGGGAGCGAACAGGAUUAGAUACCCCAGUAGUCCCUGUCUCUUAUAC
rnacentral:rRNA from 1 species